rnacentral:rRNA from 1 species
UACAGAGGGUGCGAGCGUUGUCCGGAAUCACUGGGCGUAAAGGGCGCGUAGGUGGCGACCCAAGUCGAUGGUGAAAGCUCGCCGCUCAACGGCGAGUCGGCCACUGAUACUGGGUUGCUGGAGCACUGUAGAGGCAGAUGGAAUUCCCAGUGUAGAGGUGAAAAUUCGUAGAUAUUGGGGAAGAACACCGGUGGCGAAGGCGGCUCUCUGGACCGUAACUGACGCUGAGGCGCGAAAGCGUGGGGAGCAAACAGG